rnacentral:rRNA from 1 species
GGGUUGUGAGGUUAAGCGACUAAGCGUACACGGUGGAUGCCCUGGCAGUCAGAGGCGAUGAAGGACGUGCUAAUCUGCGAUAAGCGUCGGUAAGGUGAUAUGAACCGUUAUAACCGGCGAUUUCCGAAUGGGGAAACCCAGUGUGAUUCGUCACACUAUCAUUAACUGAAUCCAUAGGUUAAUGAGGCGAACCGGGGGAACUGAAACAUCUAAGUACCCCGAGGAAAAGAAAUCAACUGAGAUUCCCCCAGUAGCGGCGAGCGAACGGGGAGCAGCCCAGAGCCUGAAUCAGUGUGUGUGUUAGUGGAAGCGUCUGGAAAGGCGCGCGAUACAGGGUGACAGCCCCGUACACAAAAAUGCACAUGCUGUGAGCUCGAUGAGUAGGGCGGGACACGUGGUAUCCUGUCUGAAUAUGGGGGGACCAUCCUCCAAGGCUAAAUACUCCUGACUGACCGAUAGUGAACCAGUACCGUGAGGGAAAGGCGAAAAGAACCCCGGCGAGGGGAGUGAAAAAGAACCUGAAACCGUGUACGUACAAGCAGUGGGAGCACAGAGCAAUCUGUGUGACUGCGUACCUUUUGUAUAAUGGGUCAGCGACUUAUAUUCUGUAGCAAGGUUAACCGAAUAGGGGAGCCGAAGGGAAACCGAGUCUUAACUGGGCGUUAAGUUGCAGGGUAUAGACCCGAAACCCGGUGAUCUAGCCAUGGGCAGGUUGAAGGUUGGGUAACACUAACUGGAGGACCGAACCGACUAAUGUUGAAAAAUUAGCGGAUGACUUGUGGCUGGGGGUGAAAGGCCAAUCAAACCGGGAGAUAGCUGGUUCUCCCCGAAAGCUAUUUAGGUAGCGCCUCGUGAAUUCAUCUCCGGGGGUAGAGCACUGUUUCGGCAAGGGGGUCAUCCCGACUUACCAACCCGAUGCAAACUGCGAAUACCGGAGAAUGUUAUCACGGGAGACACACGGCGGGUGCUAACGUCCGUCGUGAAGAGGGAAACAACCCAGACCGCCAGCUAAGGUCCCAAAGUCAUGGUUAAGUGGGAAACGAUGUGGGAAGGCCCAGACAGCCAGGAUGUUGGCUUAGAAGCAGCCAUCAUUUAAAGAAAGCGUAAUAGCUCACUGGUCGAGUCGGCCUGCGCGGAAGAUGUAACGGGGCUAAACCAUGCACCGAAGCUGCGGCAGCGACGCUUAUGCGUUGUUGGGUAGGGGAGCGUUCUGUAAGCCUGUGAAGGUGUACUGUGAGGUAUGCUGGAGGUAUCAGAAGUGCGAAUGCUGACAUAAGUAACGAUAAAGCGGGUGAAAAGCCCGCUCGCCGGAAGACCAAGGGUUCCUGUCCAACGUUAAUCGGGGCAGGGUGAGUCGACCCCUAAGGCGAGGCCGAAAGGCGUAGUCGAUGGGAAACAGGUUAAUAUUCCUGUACUUGGUGUUACUGCGAAGGGGGGACGGAGAAGGCUAUGUUGGCCGGGCGACGGUUGUCCCGGUUUAAGCGUGUAGGCUGGUUUUCCAGGCAAAUCCGGAAAAUCAAGGCUGAGGCGUGAUGACGAGGCACUACGGUGCUGAAGCAACAAAUGCCCUGCUUCCAGGAAAAGCCUCUAAGCAUCAGGUAACAUCAAAUCGUACCCCAAACCGACACAGGUGGUCAGGUAGAGAAUACCAAGGCGCUUGAGAGAACUCGGGUGAAGGAACUAGGCAAAAUGGUGCCGUAACUUCGGGAGAAGGCACGCUGAUAUGUAGGUGAAGUCCCUCGCGGAUGGAGCUGAAAUCAGUCGAAGAUACCAGCUGGCUGCAACUGUUUAUUAAAAACACAGCACUGUGCAAACACGAAAGUGGACGUAUACGGUGUGACGCCUGCCCGGUGCCGGAAGGUUAAUUGAUGGGGUCAGCGCAAGCGAAGCUCUUGAUCGAAGCCCCGGUAAACGGCGGCCGUAACUAUAACGGUCCUAAGGUAGCGAAAUUCCUUGUCGGGUAAGUUCCGACCUGCACGAAUGGCGUAAUGAUGGCCAGGCUGUCUCCACCCGAGACUCAGUGAAAUUGAACUCGCUGUGAAGAUGCAGUGUACCCGCGGCAAGACGGAAAGACCCCGUGAACCUUUACUAUAGCUUGACACUGAACAUUGAGCCUUGAUG